rnacentral:rRNA from 1 species
UACAGAGGGGGCAAGCGUUAUUCGGAAUUAUUGGGCGUAAAGGGCGCGUAGGCGGCCUGGCAAGUGGAUGGUGAAAUCCCUCGGCUUAACCGAGGAACUGCCGUCCAAACUGCUUGGCUUGAGUCCGGGAGAGGUGAGUGGAAUUCCCAGUGUAGCGGUGAAAUGCGUAGAUAUUGGGAGGAACACCAGUGGCGAAGGCGGCUAUCUGGACGGUUUCUGACGCUAAGACGCGAAAGCGUGGGGAGCAAACAGG